rnacentral:rRNA from 1 species
GAUGAACGCUGGCGGCGCGCCUAACACAUGCAAGUCGAAACGGCACCCCUCUCCGGAGGGAAGCGAGCGGCGAAACGGCUGAGUAACACGUUGGAGAACCUCGCCCCCUCCCCCGGGAUAGCCGCCCGAAAGGACGGGUAAUACCGGAAUACCCCGGGGUGCCGCAUGGCACCCCGGCUAAAGCCCCGACGGGAGGGGAUGGCUCCGCGGCCCAUCAGGUAGACGGCGGGGUGACGGCCCACCGUGCCGACAACGGGUAGCCGGGUUGAGAGACCGACCGGCCAGAUUGGGACUGAGACACGGCCCAGACUCCUACGGGAGGCAGCAGUGGGGAAUCUUGCGCAAUGGGGGGAACCCUGACGCAGCGACGCCGCGUGCGGGACGGAGGCCUUCGGGUCGUAAACCGCUUUCAGCAGGGAAGAGUCAAGACUGUACCUGCAGAAGAAGCCCCGGCUAACUACGUGCCAGCAGCCGCGGUAAUACGUAGGGGGCGAGCGUUAUCCGGAUUCAUUGGGCGUAAAGCGCGCGUAGGCGGCCCGGCAGGCCGGGGGUCGAGCGGGGGGCUCACCCCCCCGAACCCCCCCGAACCUCCGCGGCUUGGGUCCGGUAGGGGAGGGUGGAACACCCGGUGUAGCGGUGGAAUGCGCAGAUAUCGGGUGGAACACCGGUGGCGAAGGCGGCCCUCUGGGCCGAGACCGACGCUGAGGCGCGAAAGCUGGGGGAGCGAACAGGAUUAGAUACCCUGGUAGUCCCAGCCGUAAACGAUGGACGCUAGGUGUGGGGGGACGAUCCCCCCGUGCCGCAGCCAGCGCAUUAAGCGUCCCGCCUAGGGAGUACGGCCGCAAGGCUAAAACUCAAAGGAAUUGACGGGGGCCCGCACAAGCAGCGGAGCAUGUGGCUUAAUUCGAAGCAACGCGAAGAACCUUACCAGGGCUUGACAUAUGGGUGAAGCGGGGGAGACCCCGUGGCCGAGAGGAGCCCAUACAGGUGGUGCAUGGCUGUCGUCAGCUCGUGUCGUGAGAUGUUGGGUUAAGUCCCGCAACGAGCGCAACCCCCGCCGCGUGUUGCCAUCGGGUGAUGUCGGGAACCCACGCGGGACCGCCGCCGUCAAGGUGGAGGAGGGCGGGGACGACGUCAAGUCAUCAUGCCCCUUAUGCCCUGGGCUGCACACGUGCUACAAUGGCCGGUACAGAGGGAUGCCACCCCGCGAGGGGGAGCGGAUCCCGGAAAGCCGGCCCCAGUUCGGAUUGGGGGCUGCAACCCGCCCCCAUGAAGUCGGAGUUGCUAGUAAUCGCGGAUCAGCAUGCCGCGGUGAAUGCGUUCCCGGGCCU